AUGGUCCUUUCUCUUCCAGGAUCUCUCGGUGCUGUUGUCUUCACCUCCUCCUGCCCUCCUGGUCCCUAGCUCUCCAGGACUCACAAAGAUGCUGCUCUGAAAACCCCAAGGCAAGCGUGGAAGAGUAGAACAGCUCCAGGGACAGUGGGAAGAUGAGGUCACCCCAGCAUGGCCAUGAGCCCCCAACACAGCUGAGCUGGCCCAAGCUGAGGAGUUGCUGGAGCUGGACCAGGCCCUGCUGGAAGGGCAGGAGGGGGUCAGGGGCCCAGGCCCUGGUGCUCAAGGUCUAGAAUUUGAAGGAAUAGAUGAGGAGGCACCAAGAAAGCCUGGGUGGA
rnacentral:lncRNA from 1 species